rnacentral:rRNA from 1 species
ACGUAGGGGGCAAGCGUUAUCCGGAAUUAUUGGGCGUAAAGAGUGCGUAGGUGGUUUUUUAAGCGUGAGGUGAAAGGCAAUAGCUUAACUAUUGUAAGCCUUGCGAACUGGAAGACUUGAGUGCAGGAGAGGAAAGUGGAAUUCCUAGUGUAGCGGUGAAAUGCGUAGAUAUGAGGAGGAGCACCAAAGGCGAAGGGGGCAUUCAGGAAUAUAACUGCCACUGGAGCACCAAAUUGUGUGGAUCAAUCAG